UACGUAGGGUGCAAGCGUUAACGGAAUUACUGGGCGUAAAGCGUGCGCAGGCGGUUCGGAAAGAAAGAUGUGAAAUCCCAGAGCUUAACUUUGGAACUGCAUUUUUAACUCCCGAGCUAGAGUAUGUCAGAGGGGGGUAGAAUUCCACGUGUAGCAGUGAAAUGCGUAGAGAUGUGGAGGAAUACCGAUGGCGAAGGCAGCCCCCUGGGAUAAUACUGACGCUCAUGCACGAAAGCGUGGGGAGCAAACAGGAUUAGAUACCCUGGUAGUCCACGCCCUAAACGAUGUCAACUAGCUGUUGGGGCCUUCGGGCCUUAGUAGCGCAGCUAACGCGUGAAGUUGACCGCCUGGGGAGUACGGUCGCAAGAUUAAAACUCAAAGGAAUUGACGGGGACCCGCACAAGCGGUGGAUGAUGUGGAUUAAUUCGAUGCAGCGCGAAAAACCUUACCUACCCUUGACAUGUCUGGAAUCCUUAAGAGAUUAGGGAGUGCUCGCAAGAGAACCGGAACACAGGUGCUGCAUGGCUGUCGUCAGCUCGUGUCGUGAGAUGUUGGGUUAAGUCCCGCAACGAGCGCAACCCUUGUCAUUAGUUGCUACGAAAGGGCACUCUAAUGAGACUGCCGGUGACAAACCGGAGGAAGGUGGGGAUGACGUCAAGUCCUCAUGGCCCUUAUGGGUAGGGCUUCACACGUCAUACAAUGGUCGGGACAGAGGGUCGCCCAACCCGCAAGGGGGAGCCAAUCCCAGAAACCCGAUCGUAGUCCGGAUCGCAGUCUGCAACUCGACUGCGUGAAGUCGGAAUCGCUAGUAAUCGCGGAUCAGAAUGUCGCGGUGAAUACGUUCC
rnacentral:rRNA from 1 species